GGACACGGCGCCGCCCGGAGGCCCCGGCCUCUCGGCCAUGUUGCCUGCUGACACCGUGCCUGGCACCCGCUGCCCGCAGGGCAGAGCGCGCGCCGCGAUUGGAUGGCAGCCUCACGUGACGCGACGCUCCUGUGACGCCACGCUCCGGCAGGCCCCUUGGGAAUCGCUCUCCGGCGCCUCGGAGGGGGCGGGCCAGGUGGCAGAGACCCUGGGCUGUGGCGGCCUCCGGCCUAACCUGUAGUAGGUUUGUGCUCUGGGGAGGACGUCGGGACCCGAGGCCUGAGGCCAAGCCGGGUACUGUGGACGCUGUGGUAGAAGGUAAACUUCUCGCGGCUUAGCCGUCUCCAUCCCGGCCACCCGGCUCCCGGUGAAACUUAUUAAAGAUGCCUAACGGGCCCCGCGCCGGCCCACCGAGUCCAUCCACGUCGACCAGGCUUCUCCGCUCCACCCUCCAGCCUGAGGACCGCCGGACCAAGAGAUGCCUCGGCAGAGGGCGCUGGGGACCUCCAGACCCAGAAAGACGCCAGAGCCCCAUAUGGGGACAAGCGCAUCACAGAAAACCGAAAAAAUGAGGAUCUGCGAUGAGAGGAAGACAAUGAUCCAUAAUCAAGCCACGCAGAAUCAACAUGACUUCUAAUCUCCUGUUAUACUUACGUAUGUUUAGAAUGUUUCCGGCUGGGCGUGGUGGCUCAUGCCUGUAAUCCCAGCACUUUGGGAGGCCGAGGCGGGUGGAUCACCUGAGGUCGGGAGUUCGAGACCAGCCUGACCAACAUAGAGAAACCCCGUCUCUACUAAAAAUACAAAAUUAGCCGGGCGUGGUGGUGCAUGCCUGUAAUCCCAGCUACUCGGGAGGCCGAGGCAGGAGAAGCGCUUGAACCUGGGAGGUGAAGGUUGUGGUGAGCUGAGAUCAUGCCAUUGCACUCCAGCCUGGCCAACAAGAGUGAACUCCGUCUCAAAAAAUAAAAAUAAAAAUAAAAUGUUCCCAUUUAAAAAGUACACGUCCUUGAAAAUAAAGUGUUGAAAUGUAUAAAGUGCUAUUUCCACUCUCCAGGAAAAUCAGUGUUAAUAGAGCAUUUUUCUAUAUGUCUAUUUAGUUAUAUAUAGUUAAAAUGUUAAAAAAAUUAUAGAAUAUGUAUAU
rnacentral:lncRNA from 10 species